UGCCAGCCGCCGCGGUAAUACGGAGGGGGCAAGCGUUAUUCGGAAUUAUUGGGCGUAAAGGGCGCGUAGGCGGCCUAGUAAGUCAACGGUGAAAUCCCUCGGCCCAACCGAGGAACUGCCUUUGAUACUGCUUGGCUUGAGGCCGGGAGAGGGUAGUGGAAUUCCCAGUGUAGCGGUGAAAUGCGUAGAUAUUGGGAGGAACACCAGUGGCGAAGGCGACUACCUGGACCGGUUCUGACGCUGAGGCGCGAAAGCGUGGGGAGCAAACAGGAUUAGAU
rnacentral:rRNA from 1 species